UCUGGGUGUGGAGGUGCAUGUCUAUAAUCCCAGCUACUCUGGAGGCUGAGGCAGGAGGAUUGCAAGGUUGAGGCCAGCUGAGCCACUUAGCAAGACCCUGUCUCGC
rnacentral:sRNA from 1 species